rnacentral:lncRNA from 1 species
GACAGAUCACCUGAUCCUGGAUAGCAAAAAAUGUGAUUACCAAAUCUGGAUAAUUUUGAUCCGGAUUACAUUUUUUGAACAACUGGCCCCUAGUUAUUGUUGUCCUGCGUUCACUGCUGUUCACCGCUUUCCCUGAAGGGGGCGUCUGUGAGCUCUGAGCAUGCACAGGUGGAGCGAAUGCAUGGAUGUGGUCAAGCUGAGCUAAACCAGAGGACAGAGUAUUGCUUUAUAGAUAAACAUACACCAGUGCGUCUACGAGUGGUUACUGAUGUCCAGUUAAAUAAAUCACACAGAAUAUAAUGGUGAACAACAGACCUUGCAUUUACAAGAAAACGUAUGCAUGCAUGGUACACUGAAACAGGCUGCAUGCAUAUUCAGUGUGUCACAAGGCAGAAGUGUAGUGGGAAUACUUCCACAAGUAUUUCCUUAGCAUUUAAACUGAAGCAAGGUUUCUAAAAUAAAAAAUCUUCACUCUGAGGACCUAAACUCCCCACCACUAUUUUACAUUGGAAUGCCGGUCACUCUGCAGGGUCCACACUUGUGAAUGCAUGCUCGGCUCUAUAGCUUCUGUAGCUGUAUAAUGUGUAGCUGUUUGGCUGCUUUCGAUAUCCUUUAUUCUUCUAAGAUCAUCUCACUGUACGAUAUUAUAACUAUACUUUGCUCACAAUAACGUUGAUUUUAUGUUAUUUGAUAUAUCAUAAAACGAUUCUCUGCGAUACUUCACAGCAUCUGUGUUACUGAUGAGGACAAAUUACUCGUAAAUAAAUAAGAACAGUUUCACAGAAUUUAACAACCAAUAAUCUUCACCAAAGGUUUAACCUAUUGAUGUGAUUAUAGGGCCACCACGUGGAGUAAUGAAACAGUAACUUUAGUAAGUCUAAUUAGGUGGUAAGUCUAUGUUUAAGGAGCGCCUAUGUUUAAAAAAAAAGCUUCCAUAUUUGAUGCCACAUAUAAAUGAAACCAAUACGAUAUAUUGCGAUAUAUUGAUUUUGACCCUACUGACAACACCUUUAGACACUGCUAGCCAUCUAUUUGUGUUGAUUUGCAUGAAUAAAUUAUAUUACAUUGCACAAGGUUUCUUAAGUAUCUGUAGUCACACAGAAGCACAGGAAAGUCCUCAGAGCUCUGCUGAAACUUGUCCAGGUAAAGUUUGAUAUCUAGCCCUGGUGGAGUGAGAGGGGAGCGAUGGAGACAACGAUGAGAAAAGGAGGAGGAGGAGGAAGCAAGGGAUCACACUGAGUCAGAGACGAGCUCUAACAAAUCCACCCACGGAGCGGAAAGAGAGAGAGAGGACAAAACACAGGAAAAUCAUGAAAAAAUCUAUAAAAACUGACUGAAAGAAUAAAAAAAGUACAACCGAAACUCUUUAUGGAAAG